rnacentral:rRNA from 1 species
GACAGAGGGGGCAAGCGUUGCUCGGAAUCACUGGGCGUAAAGGGCGCGUAGGCGGGAUGGCAAGUCGGUCGUGAAAUCUCUCGGCUCAACCGAGAAACGUCGGCCGAUACUGCCGUUCUUGAGGGAUGCAGAGGAGACUGGAAUUCCCGGUGUAGCGGUGAAAUGUGUAGAGAUCGGGAGGAACACCGGUGGCGAAGGCGGGUCUCUGGGCUGACACUGACGCUCAUGCACGAAAGCGUGGGGAGCAAACAGG